rnacentral:rRNA from 1 species
UACGUAGGGGGCAAGCGUUGUCCGGAAUCAUUGGGCGUAAAGCGCGUGUAGGCGGCUUGGUAAGUCCGCUCUGAAAGCCCGGGGCUCAACCCCGGGAGGCGGGUGGAUACUGUCAAGCUCGAGUCCGGAAGAGGCGAGUGGAAUUCCUGGUGUAGCGGUGAAAUGCGUAGAUAUCGGAAGGAACACCAGUGGCGAAAGCGGCUCCCUGGUCCAGCACCGACGUUCAGGCACGAAAGCGUGGGGAGCAAACAGG